UACGGAGGGUGCAAGCGUUAUCCGGAAUCACUGGGUUUAAAGGGUGCGUAGGCGGGGGAUUAAGUCAGUGGUGAAAGCCUGUAGCUUAACUACAGAAUUGCCAUUGAUACUGAUUUUCUUGAAUUGGGUUGAGGUUAGCGGAAUGUGACAUGUAACGGUGAAAUGUUUAGAUAUGUCAUGGAACACCGAUUGCGAAGGCAGCUAGCUGGGCCUUGAUUGACGCUGAGGCACGAAAGCGUGGGUAGCGAACAGG
rnacentral:rRNA from 1 species